UUCUGCCCUAUGAUUAUUUAAAUGGCUGCAGUAUCUUGACUGUGCAAAGGUAGCAUAGUAAUUAGUCAUUUAAUUGUUGACUUGUAUGAAUGAGUAAAUGAAGGAUUUUUUUUAUUAUAUGUAUGUAUAAAAUUUUAUUUGUAAGUAAAAAAGCUUACUUAAUUUUUUGGGACGAUAAGACCCUAAAGAACUUUAUUAUUUUUUUUAAGAUUUUUUAUUUAGUAAAAUUUAGAAAGUUCUUUCUAGGAAUUUUUUUAUUGGGGUGAUAAAUAAAUUAAAACUUUAUUUUUUUUAUUCAUUUAUGUAUGUUUUUAUGAUCCAUUAUUUAUGAUUAUAAGUUUAAGUUACCUUAGGGAUAACAGCGUAAUUUUAAUGGGGAGUUCAUAUUUAUAUUAAAGUUUGCGACCUCGAUGUUGAAUUAAGAUAAAAUUAGGGGGUAG
rnacentral:rRNA from 1 species